AUUGAACGCUGGCGGCAGGCCUAACACAUGCAAGUCGAGCGGAUGAGAAGAGCUUGCUCUUCGAUUCAGCGGCGGACGGGUGAGUAAUACCUAGGAAUCUGCCUGGUAGUGGGGGACAACGUUUCGAAAGGAACGCUAAUACCGCAUACGUCCUACGGGAGAAAGCAGGGGACCUUCGGGCCUUGCGCUAUCAGAUGAGCCUAGGUCGGAUUAGCUAGUUGGUGAGGUAAUGGCUCACCAAGGCUACGAUCCGUAACUGGUCUGAGAGGAUGAUCAGUCACACUGGAACUGAGACACGGUCCAGACUCCUACGGGAGGCAGCAGUGGGGAAUAUUGGACAAUGGGCGAAAGCCUGAUCCAGCCAUGCCGCGUGUGUGAAGAAGGUCUUCGGAUUGUAAAGCACUUUAAGUUGGGAGGAAGGGCAGUAAGCGAAUACCUUGCUGUUU
rnacentral:rRNA from 1 species